rnacentral:rRNA from 1 species
GACGAACGCUGGCGGCAUGCCUAAUACAUGCAAGUCGAGCGGACUUGAUGAGAAGCUUGCUUCUCAGAUAGUUAGCGGCGGACGGGUGAGUAACACGUAGGCAACCUGCCCUCAAGCUUGGGACAACUACCGGAAACGGUAGCUAAUCCCGAAUACUUGUUUUCUUCGCCUGAAGGAAACUGGAAAGACGGAGUAAUCUGUCACUUGGGGGUGGGCCUGCGGCGCAUUAGCUAGUUGGUGAGGUAACGGCUCACCAAGGCGACGAUGCGUAGCCGACCUGAGAGGGUGAUCGGCCACACUGGGACUGAGACACGGCCCAGACUCCUACGGGAGGCAGCAGUAGGGAAUCUUCCGCAAUGGGCGAAAGCCUGACGGAGCAAUGCCGCGUGAGUGAUGAAGGUUUUCGGAUCGUAAAGCUCUGUUGCCAUGGAAGAACGCUUGGGAGAGUAACUGCUCCCAAGGUGACGGUACCUGAGAAGAAAGCCCCGGCUAACUACGUGCCAGCAGCCGCAGUAA